AUGUGUCUGUUGUGCAAAUCUAAGCCUUGUUUCCCUGCCUGUCUUUUGGAUUACUCGUUGCCUGUAUUUUGCCCUGUUAUUGUUUGGACUGAUUGCCUGUGUACAGGAAACUUCUGCUUGUUUCUGGAUUACGCCUUUGGAUUUCCCCUCAAUAAACACUGUUCUUGGAUCCUCAAACUUCAUGUCCCCAUGCAGUUUCAUGACAGUUGACAGAGGCGUGGGCCCGUCAGUGACUGUAGUUCUAGGCAGACGUCCAGGCCCUCGCUGGCACCAUCUGCAGAACACACAGCUGGGCUCAACACCUCAACCCAGCCCAACACUAACUGCAAGUAACCACCACUGAUGGAAAAACAAACCGAAUGGGGGACACAGACUUAGUCCCCCUUGUGAAAACAAGUACACUUAGCAUACUUUAUUAGAAAACUAAUAUACUUUAAAUAAAAAAAAAACAUCUGCAAACAGAAUGUUAUGUUUUCAGACACUUCAUUGCAUGUUAGUUGCAAGUAAAAAAACAGUGUAUUGUAGUUUAAAUGCAAUUACUGGAACUGAAGAGUGCUUUUCUGACCCAUCUUUAUAUGUAAUUUUAUAAUUGCUUCGGUCAUCUUUGAAAUGAAUGUACAUUUAUAGUAAACUAAAAUACUUUUAAAUUUUAAAAAAGCUAUUUAAAUAUAUUAAUAAUUAUAUAUUUCUAAUGAUGGUUGAUACACUAGUCGACUAGUCGACUUCAAUGCUCUGCCAUGACGCUUUAAGCUUAACGUCGACUAGUCGCUGGUCCUAUAGAGGGCGCAACAGGAUAAGAAAUCUUUGAAGGACUUUCCACAUUUACAAUCCGUUUCCAAAUAGUUAGAAUGACAAAUCAAUGCGCUGCUGCACUGUAACGCACAGACAUAGACUAUGUCUGUGCGUUACAGACAGUAGCGCGUACAUCACUCGCAGAUCGCGCGAGCACAGAAUCAUUCAGCGCGGAAAUGUAUUUUCAACACGGUUCUGUGAUUUCUCAAUAAAAUAGCUUAGGAACUGAAAAGUUAAAGCAUAUGUUUCUUAAUAACUAAAUCCCACAGCUUUACUACUAGUAGAGAGAUGCUGCCAGGUAGAAUUAAUUCACACACGCAAUCAAUUGCUCUCACUAAUGCAUUCAUAUGAAUGUAAUCUUUACUGUGCUACUUUAUCUGUAUCUGAUUUUGAACGAGCAGAAAUCUGUGAGAAAUAUAACGACCCAAGGACAAAAGAACUGAUAAAAAUUAGCUGUUAUUGGAGCACUAGCCAUGUGGGCAGCGCUGUCAUAUGCCAUCGCUGUGCAAAAGGUGUUUAUCACAGCUCCAGACUUUUUUGUU
rnacentral:lncRNA from 1 species